rnacentral:rRNA from 1 species
GACGAACGCUGGCGGCGUGCUUAACACAUGCAAGUCGAACGGAAAGGCCCUGCUUUUGUGGGGUGCUCGAGUGGCGAACGGGUGAGUAACACGUGAGUAACCUGCCCUUGACUUUGGGAUAACUUCAGGAAACUGGGGCUAAUACCGGAUAGGAGCUCCUGCUGCAUGGUGGGGGUUGGAAAGUUUCGGCGGUUGGGGAUGGACUCGCGGCUUAUCAGCUUGUUGGUGGGGUAGUGGCUUACCAAGGCUUUGACGGGUAGCCGGCCUGGGCGGGUGACCGGCCAAAUUGGGACUGAGCUACGGCCCAGACUCCUACGGGAGGCAGCAGUGGAGAAUAUUGCACAGUGGGCGGAAGCCUGAUGCAGCAACGCCGCGUGCGGGAUGACGGCCUUCGGGUUGUAAACCGCUUUCGCCUGUGACGAAGCGUGAGUGACGGUAAUGGGUAAAGAAGCACCGGCUAACUACGUG